AUUGUUGCAGAUGCAAAUUUUUCGGAUUUUCCAUAUAUACAAUAUUUAACACAUCCACCGGAGAUCAUCAAGAAGCCUCAGAAUCAGGGCGUUCGAGUAGGAGGAGUGGCAACAUUUUAUUGUGCAGCUAGAGGAGAUCCACCACCUUCGAUAGUUUGGCGUAAAAAUGGCAAAAAAGUAUCGGGUACCCAAUCACGUUAUACGGUGCUGGAACAACCCGGCGGUGUUUCAAUAUUACGCAUUGAGCCUGUACGUGCUGGACGUGAUGAUGCUCCCUAUGAGUGCGUAGCAGAGAAUGGUGUUGGCGAUGCUGUAUCAGCAGAUGCUACACUAACAGUAUAUGAAGGUAAGUGUUUGGACAUAAACUUUCCAACUAAAUAAAAUAUAAGUAGAAAAAAUGUAUAUUGAAUGGAACAUACAUGUACUGACAGACUGACCCAACAUGUGAGUGUCAUAAUCAGGGGCCAUAUGACCAAUACCACUACCACCUUUUUUUUUUUUCUUUUUUGCUGUCUUCUUGUAUGAACAACUUUAUAUUUAAUUAAAUUUUAUCAAAAUAUUUACUCAACUCUAAGCAUCAGCAAUAUGACCAACACCCGCAACAACAUUAACAGCAGGAGCAACAUACAUACAUAUAUAUUUAAUAAUAAAAACUAAUCCUUGAUAAACUUCUGUUAAAGCAACAAAAUACUACUCUUAACCAAAAACACUGUAAAAAAAUGAGCUUGAAAUAUUGUAUUUUUUAAAGUUUUUUUAUUAAAAGCUUUUCAAGUAUAGCAACAGCAAUAACAAAAUCUAUUGGUAAAAAGUUGUACAUUUAACUUUUUAUAUAAACAUUUAUCCUGGUAAAGGGAUAAAAACUCUUGCUGUAGUAAAAAUUCAUAUAAUAUUUCUAGUAUGGCUUAGUAUUUCACUUUACUAGAUGAGUAUUUUUUAUCUAUGAGUGUGUGUAUGUGUGUAUUGGUAUACAUGAGUGGUUGUUAAAUGUUGUUGUGGUAACAUUUGAUUUUGCUUUAUUGAUCUCUUUAACUCUUGAAACUCUUGCUAAAAAUUAUUUGCUAACAAAAAAUAUGAAAAAAUAACUUCAAAACUUUACUAAACAU